UACGGGGGGGGCAAGCGUUGUUCGGAAUUACUGGGCGUAAAGGGCUCGUAGGCGGCCAACUAAGUCAGACGUGAAAUCCCUCGGCUUAACCGGGGAACUGCGUCUGAUACUGGAUGGCUUGAGUUUGGGAGAGGGAUGCGGAAUUCCAGGUGUAGCGGUGAAAUGCGUAGAUAUCUGGAGGAACACCGGUGGCGAAGGCGGCAUCCUGGACCAUUACUGACACUGAGAAGCGAAAGCCAGGGGAGCAAACGGG
rnacentral:rRNA from 1 species